rnacentral:rRNA from 1 species
GGGACAACAGUUGGAAACGACUGCUAAUACCGCAUAAGCCCACGGGUCGGCAUCGACCAGAGGGAAAAGGAGCAAUCCGCUUUGAGAUGGCCUCGCGUCCGAUUAGCUAGUUGGUGAGGUAAUGGCCCACCAAGGCGACGAUCGGUAGCCGGACUGAGAGGUUGAACGGCCACAUUGGGACUGAGACACGGCCCAGACUCCUACGGGAGGCAGCAGUGGGGAAUAUUGCACAAUGGGGGAAACCCUGAUGCAGCGACGCCGCGUGGAGGAAGAAGGUCUUCGGAUUGUAAGCUCCUGUUGUUGAGGAAGAUAAUGACGGUACUCAACAAGGAAGUGACGGCUAACUACGUGCCAGCAGCCGCGGUAAAACGUAGGUCACAAGCGUUGUCCGGAAUUACUGGGUGUAAAGGGAGCGCAGGCGGGAAGACAAGUUGGAAGUGAAAUCUAUGGGCUCAACCCAUAAACUGCUUUCAAAACUGUUUUUCUUGAGUAGUGCAGAGGUAGGCGGAAUUCCCGGUGUAGCGGUGGAAUGCGUAGAUAUCGGGAGGAACACCAGUGGCGAAGGCGGCCUACUGGGCACCAACUGACGCUGAGGCUCGAAAGUGUGGGUAGCAAACAGGAUUAGAUACCCUGGUAGUCCACACCGUAAACGAUGAUUACUAGGUGUUGGAGGAUUGACCCCUUCAGUGCCGCAG